UACGUAGGGCGCAAGCGUUGUCCGGAAUUAUUGGGCGUAAAGAGCUCGUAGGCGGUUUGUCGCGUCUGCUGUGAAAACUCGAGGCUCAACCUCGGGCUUGCAGUGGGUACGGGCAGACUAGAGUGCGGUAGGGGUGACUGGAAUUCCUGGUGUAGCGGUGGAAUGCGCAGAUAUCAGGAGGAACACCGACGGCGAAGGCAGGUCACUGG
rnacentral:rRNA from 1 species